AAAAUAUACUAAGUUUAAAAUAGUAAUUCAUUUAGGUAUGGUGGUUGUUAAAAAGAGCAUAUAAAUAGAAAAAUUUGAUGUUUUGAAAGUAAUGUCUAUAAAACAUAAAUGAGUUAUGUUUAGCAAUGCUUAUAUUUGCAAGGAUGCUGUAUACGCCGUAACAGCAUUAUUAGAUGCACUUGUUAAAUUCAGUGCUGCUCGAACGUACUAUCAUGUAAUAUUGUAAGAUUCAAAUGGUUUCUGCUAUCUGUUUACUUACAGUUCUUGAUCAUAUGCCUAAAAAUGUAAAACAAUACCGAAUUUACUUAUUAAGUUCCAGUUCACCUGAGCAAACAACGGCGCGUUGCCCAACAAUUAUAACCGAGGAUAGUAAGAAUCUGAUUUUAUUAUAUAGUAUCCAAAUUUAGGAGCAAACAUUAUUUCAAUCAAAACAUCGCAUCUU